AGAGUUUGAUCUUGGCUCAGAACGAACGCUGGCGGCGUGCCUAACACAUGCAAGUCGUACGAGAAAAUUCGCUUCGGCGAGUGAGUAGAGUGGCGCACGGGUGAGUAACGCGUGGAUAAUCUGCCUUUAAGUUUGGAAUAACUCACCGAAAGGUGGGCUAAUACCGGAUAAUGCUAUGUUGCUUUGGUGAUAUAGCCAAAGAGAGCCUCUGCAUGCAAGCCCUCGCUUAAAGAUGAGUCCGCGUACCAUUAGCUAGUUGGUAGGGUAAUGGCCUACCAAGGCGACGAUGGUUAGCUGGUCUGAGAGGAUGAUCAGCCACACUGGAACUGAGACACGGUCCAGACUCCUACGGGAGGCAGCAGUGAGGAAUAUUGCGCAAUGGGGGAAACCCUGACGCAGCAACGCCGCGUGAGUGAGGAAGGUUUUCGGAUCGUAAAGCUCUGUCGGGUGGGAAGAAGUGUGCGUAAGUUAAUAGCUUAUGUACUUGACGGUACCGCCAAAGGAAGCACCGGCUAACUCCGUGCCAGCAGCCGCGGUAAUACGGGGGGUGCUAGCGUUGUUCGGAAUCAUUGGGCGUAAAGAGCGUGUAGGCGGCUGAGCAAGUCAGAUGUGAAUCCCUGGGCUUAACCAGAAGUGCAUUGAACUGCUAGCUGAGUAGGAAAAGGU
rnacentral:rRNA from 1 species